rnacentral:RNase_P_RNA from 1 species
CAGGGGACGUCAGGCGAUCGCGGCGCUUCGGCGCUGAGGAAAGUCCGCCCUCCACAGGGCAGCGGUGCCGGCUAACGGCCGGGCGGGGCAACCCGACAGACAGUGCAACAGAGAAGUGUAUUGCCGUGGGGCAACCUGCGGCGAGGGUGAAACGGUGGUGUAAAAGACCACCAGCGGCGCUGGUAACAGCAUCGGCUUGGCAAACCUCACCGGGAGCAAGGCAAACAGACGCAUUGGGGCGGCCCGUCCCGCAAAAAGCGUCGGGUAUGCUGCAUGACGCGCAGAGUAAUCUGCGUGCUAGAGAGAUGAUCGUCCGUGUGGGCUUCGGCCUGCACACAGAAGGCGGCUUAUCGACCCCCCUGGGCG